AGAGUUAAACAGUACGUGAAAUUGUUGAAAGGGAAACGAUUGAAGUCAGUCAUACCAACGGGAAAUCAACCUUUUGAGAUUGGUCUUGUGGGUUUCGGAGAGUUUAAAAGCCUUCGGAUUUGCUAGGAUUGGGCUCUUUUGGUGUACUUUCUCGUAAGGUUAGUCAACAUCGGUUUUGAAUGUCAUAAAAUGACUGGAGGAAUGUGGCUUCGAUCUCGUAUCGAAGUGUUAUAGCCUUUGGUAGAUGUGAUGUUCGAGUCCGAGGAUUGCAACGGAUACCCUUCUGGGCUAUUCGUCUGAUCUCUGAUACGUUGCCUUGAUGUUGAAAGCUUGCUUAUGAUGUUAGGGUAUUACGGUCAAAAGGUUAGAACGGAUUAAAUUCGUUAAGGAUGUUGGCAUAAUGGUUUUAACCGACC
rnacentral:rRNA from 1 species